AACACAAAGAAAAAUGGCUUGGCGAAGUGAAAACG
rnacentral:rRNA from 1 species